UCAGAUGGAAUAAGUUCCACUGAGCUAUCCUCGAGGUCAUGGAUUCCAUCCUCUGUCACCUCCAUUUCAUCAAGAUGACAUAUUGAGCCCAUGAAAAGCCUUUUAUUUGAGAUUUCCAAGGCCAGCAAUGUUCUCUUCCUCUCCCUUUUCUUUGUAUAAAAAUUCAAGAAAAACUCUCAUGUCAAUUGUUUACAUGACACUAUGGCUAAGACACUAAAAGCCCUCUCCCUGCAAAACUAGUGGCAAAGUUCUCUAGAGAACUACAAACUGUCGCAUCCUUACUACGUGGGGCAGCAGCAAGCCCAGGUGAAGAUGUGCAUGUUCUUAGAGAAACUAUUAAUAACAUACUGACAUUUACACCUGUGUGAAUAAUUUCAUCAAAUCUCUUAACUCACACUUGCACAAACUUCACCUGGAGAAGAGAGAGGGAAAGUUGUAUAGGAAAAAAUAAAUGGGUAUUGAGGUCA